AGAGUUUGAUCCUGGCUCAGAAUCAACGCUGGCGGCGUGCCUCAGACAUGCAAGUCGAACGAUUAAAGCUCUCUUCGGAGAGUGCAUAGAGUGGCGCACGGGUGAGUAACACGUAAGUAAUCUACCUUCGAGUGGGGAAUAACGUCCGGAAACGGACGCUAAUACCGCAUAAUGCAGCGGCAUCGUAAGAUGACAGUUGUUAAAGAUUUAUCGCUUGAAGAGGAGCUUGCGGCAGAUUAGCUAGUUGGUAAGGUAAUGGCUUACCAAGGCUACGAUCUGUAACCGGUCUUAGAGGACGGUCGGUCACACUGACACUGAAUAACGGGUCAGACUCCUACGGGAGGCAGCAGUCGGGAAUUUUGGGCAAUGGGCGAAAGCCUGACCCAGCAACGCCGCGUGAAGGAUGAAGUAUUUCGGUAUGUAAACUUCGAAAGAAUAGGAAGAAUAAAUGACGGUACUAUUUAUAAGGUCCGGCUAACUACGUG
rnacentral:rRNA from 1 species